UUGCAAACAAAAUUCUUUUGCUGAGGUUCAAACACUUCUCUGCUUUUUUCCAGGUCUCUUCCUUCAAAAUUCAAAUUCAAAUGUCAAGUUUCACCUUUUCUCAGUUUUCUAUCCCUCAUUUUCAUUCUCAUUCAUCUCUCUCCCUCUCUUUUACACUUCCUUCUCCCUCUCUCCGUCGUUCCCACUCUGCCGUUGCGCUGCCACCUCUGUGCCACCGCCACCACCGUGCCGCUGCCAUGGUUGCCUUCUCCACCAAAUCCUUCUCCCUCUAUCUUUCUCUUUCUCUUCCUCCAUCUUUCUCCAAUAGUAACAAGAGGCCUUCUUCUUCGAAGCAAAACCCAAAUUUUGAAGCUUGGAUUCCAUGAAUGUUUGGUCCAACAAGCAUGAGCAACUUUGUGAAAGGGAGCACACAAUUCAUGAGCUUGAAAGGAAAAUGGAAGAGAAAGACAAAGAGUUGCAUUCAAUUAAAUUACACAAUGAAGCAAUCUGCAUGGGCUACACAAGACCUUCUCCGAGAGCAUAACAAAGAACUUGCAACAUUAAGACCCUAAGAGAGGCCAUCCAUCAAGAGUAUUGCCAGGUGGUUGAGAGACGUGUUUUUACAGAGAGGCCAUCCAUCAAGAGUAUCGCAAGGUGGUUGAGAGACGUGUUUUAUAGGUUUGAGUUGUUUACUCGUUAGUGAUUGUAUUCUAUUUUAUGCCAUUAACUUUCAUUCAAAUGGAGUUAAUUUGUUUUUAUUCUAUGUUUUUCACGAUUUUCAGUUAUGGGCACAAGAGCUGAUAAGGAGAUUUUCUUUCUUUUCUUAACUAUUAUUCAUCAAUUAAUGAUGUAGAGCUGAUGGAAAUGUCUUUUAAAAGUUUGUCUUCUAAUCAUAUAACUAUGUACAAACAAUUGACAGAUUCAUUGAAACUGGAGAUAGUUAACAAAUUUUCCAGAAGGUUAUCCCGGGAACAAGGACAAGGCCAGGUUCAUAUGUUCCUCUUGCUUUCUUCUUCAAUUCCUCCUCAAAUGCACAUUCAACUUUUUGUAUUAUCCCAUAUCAACAUGAAUAUCAUUCACUCAUCUAAACCCACCAUUCAUACGUUGUCAAUAAUUCCAUCCUUUGAAAUAAACCCACCAUCUUAAUUUUUCAUUUAUAUAAUAUUUCCUUUGCUAACCACCACUAUUUUUUCAUGUAACAUGUUUCACAAUAGGAAAUGAUCAAGAACAUGCUUUAUGACUUAAAAGCUAAUCUUUGAUUUGAACUUUUGUUUUCAGUCACAUAUAUAAGGCUGAUCAAGAACCACUUUAAAUAUUGUAGAACAAUGUUAUUCCUAAAGAUAGCUUUUAUCAAAGUUGUUAGCUCAGAAGGAUAAACAAUCAUACUUUCAAUUAAUAUUUUUAAUUAUAAGAUUAUGAUACCAUUCUCAUUCUCAUGCUUUAGACCAAAAUAAUAAUAAUAAUCCAUUGUUAGUACAGGAAGCUAAUUCUUACCCAAGAAGAAGGAGUUGAAGCCUAUGACAUUGUUGCUAUUAAACUUAGAGGAGUUAAUGUUGUUACUAACUUUGAUAUAACAAGAUAUGACGUGGAAAAAAUUAUGGAGAGCAAUAACAUUCUUAGAAGUGAACAAGCUAUUUGUUUUUGUUUCCUUUUCAGCUAGAGAAAGGUGUGGAUGGAUUAAUUGACAGCUUUGCAAGGUUGGAUUCAUGAAUUUCAAGUGUUGGUCAAACAACAACAAAAAUAGGGUGUAGAUGCUUGACGAGAAACUUCCAGUCAAACAAAUGAGUUGAUAAAAGUAAUACCAGUUCGUUAAUUUUUUUUUAAUUUUACCAUCAUUUGUGUUAGGAAAUUUACCUAUCAUUGAUUAAUUUAUGUAGUACUUAAUGGAAUUCAAUAGCAGCCCAGGCGACCUGAUGGAUCUUUCACCUCUUUUUUCUAGUGAUAGUCGUGUUGCUGAUGCUGUUUUGAUUGCCCAGAAAUUACGUAACAAUUAAGAUUCCUUUUGAAUGUUAUACAACUCUUUAACCAAAUUAUGUCAAUGUUAUGCUAAUUAUGUUAAUUUUCACGGUCAUUUGCUGAAGAAGAUAUAGGAAGACAUGGAAUACUUGUCCCAUCAGCUACGGGAAAUGCAACUGCUAACAACUAACAGAGGAUUAAAAGUAGCAGUUGCUAAUUUACAGGACUACUGCAAUGA